rnacentral:sRNA from 1 species
AAAAAAAGAAGAAGAUAUAAU